rnacentral:rRNA from 1 species
GCUCAGGAUGAAGGCUAGCUACAGGCUUAACACAUGCAAGUCGAGGGGCAUCAGGAAGAAAGCUUGCUUUCUUUGCUGGCGACCGGCGCACGGGUGAGUAACACGUAUCCAACCUGCCCUUUACUCGUGGAUAGCCUUUCGAAAGAAAGAUUAAUACCCGAUGGCAUAAUGAUUCCGCAUGGUUUCAUUAUUAAAGGAUUCCGGUAAAGGAUGGGGAUGCGUUCCAUUAGGUUGUUGGUGAGGUAACGGCUCACCAAGCCUUCGAUGGAUAGGGGUUCUGAGAGGAAGGUCCCCCACAUUGGAACUGAGACACGGUCCAAACUCCUACGGGAGGCAGCAGUGAGGAAUAUUGGUCAAUGGGCGCUAGCCUGAACCAGCCAAGUAGCGUGAAGGAUGAAGGCUCUAUGGGUCGUAAACUUCUUUUAUAUAAGAAUAAAGUGCAGUAUGUAUACUGUUUUGUAUGUAUUAUAUGAAUAAGGAUCGGCUAACUCCGUGCCAGCAGCCGCGGUAAUACGGAGGAUCCGAGCGUUAUCCGGAUUUAUUGGGUUUAAAGGGAGCGUAGGUGGACUGGUAAGUCAGUUGUGAAAGUUUGCGGCUCAACCGUAAAAUUGCAGUUGAUACUGUCAGUCUUGAGUACAGUAGAGGUGGGCGGAAUUCGUGGUGUAGCGGUGAAAUGCUUAGAUAUCACGAAGAACUCCGAUUGCGAAGGCAGCUCACUGGACUGCAACUGACACUGAUGCUCGAAAGUGUGGGUAUCAAACAGGAUUAGAUACCCUGGUAGUCCACACAGUAAACGAUGAAUACUCGCUGUUUGCGAUAUACAGUAAGCGGCCAAGCGAAAGCAUUAAGUAUUCCACCUGGGGAGUACGCCGGCAACGGUGAAACUCAAAGGAAUUGACGGGGGCCCGCACAAGCGGAGGAACAUGUGGUUUAAUUCGAUGAUACGCGAGGAACCUUACCCGGGCUUAAAUUGCAGUGGAAUGAUGUGGAAACAUGUCAGUGAGCAAUCACCGCUGUGAAGGUGCUGCAUGGUUGUCGUCAGCUCGUGCCGUGAGGUGUCGGCUUAAGUGCCAUAACGAGCGCAACCCUUAUCUUUAGUUACUAACAGGUUAUGCUGAGGACUCUAGAGAGACUGCCGUCGUAAGAUGUGAGGAAGGUGGGGAUGACGUCAAAUCAGCACGGCCCUUACGUCCGGGGCUACACACGUGUUACAAUGGGGGGUACAGAAGGCAGCUAGCGGGUGACCGUAUGCUAAUCCCAAAAGCCUCUCUCAGUUCGGAUCGAAGUCUGCAACCCGACUUCGUGAAGCUGGAUUCGCUAGUAAUCGCGCAUCAGCCACGGCGCGGUGAAUACGUUCCCGGGCCUUGUACACACCGCCCGUCAAGCCAUGGGAGCCGGGGGUACCUGAAGUACGUAACCGCAAGGAUCGUCCUAGGGUAAAACU